rnacentral:lncRNA from 1 species
AGGGAAAGGAGCUUUCUUUAGGAAUGCAUUUUCUCCAAGUGGAGCUCUGUUAUAUCCUUUGUGACAGUUUUUCAUGAUGAGCACUUGCGCAAGGCUUUUGCAUUUUUUGAUACAAACAAGAAUGGGAUGAACUUUUUGUCCAACAUGAUAUCCAUGCUUAUACCCUCCUAAAAUGACUCCCCAUGUUACUUGCAGGAUGGACGCAUAAGCUACGAGGAGUUCAUAUCUAUGAUGAAAGCAGGCACAGAUUGGAGAAAGGCAUCAAGGCAGUAUUCAAGAGAGCGGUUUAAUAAUCUCAGUUUGAAAUUGAGAUAUAGCCAAGCAUCACAAGAAUCACUAAAGAUGAAAUCCUUUUGUGAAUCAGCAGAAUCAAAACAUGAUUCAACAAUAUUGCUUAACACUAUCAAACACAAUAAAGGCAAAAAAAAAACAUUUACUGCACAAAAAUGACUCACAACAAACCACUAGAAGAAAAAGAAACUUGAGAAAAAAUUAAUAGCUUCUCUAAUUAUCAAAAAUUACCUGUUUUUUCUCCUUUUGCAACCCUUAAAUGAACACAACUACACAAAUCUUUGCUGAAACACAAGAACAAAGGAACAAAAUGUUACAAUUGAGAAAAAAAUUGAGUUUUUUUUGCUUAUAAUUGAAAUUGGAGAGAAGAGGGAUAAAGUAAUUUAUUUAGUUUGAGAAAGAGAGAACAGAGAUUGCUAAGUAUAGAGAUGCUUAAGAGAGAGGGAGAGAGACGAACCUGCAACUAGUAGUGUUUUGCCCCCUUAGGUUUUCUUUUUUUCUCUCUUAGAGCAUUCCCAAUGGUAAAAUAGUUUUAGAGGUGCCACGUAGGAGAGAGG